AUUGAACGCUGGCGGCAUGCCUUACACAUGCAAGUCGAACGGCAGCACGGGUGCUUGCACCUGGUGGCGAGUGGCGAACGGGUGAGUAAUACAUCGGAACAUGUCCUGUAGUGGGGGAUAGCCCGGCGAAAGCCGGAUUAAUACCGCAUACGAUCUACGGAUGAAAGCGGGGGACCUUCGGGCCUCGCGCUAUAGGGUUGGCCGAUGGCUGAUUAGCUAGUUGGUGGGGUAAAGGCCUACCAAGGCGACGAUCAGUAGCUGGUCUGAGAGGACGACCAGCAAACCUGGACCGGGGACAGGGCCCAGAUCCCGAGGGGAGGCAGCGUUGGGGAAUUUUGGAAAAUGGGGGAAGGCCGGUUCAAGAAAGGCGGGGGGGGUGAGAAGGCCUUCGGGUUGUAAAGCACUUUUGUCCGGAAAGAAAUCCUUGGCUCUAAUACAGUCGGGGGAUGACGGUACCGGAAGAAUAAGCACCGGCUAACUACGUG
rnacentral:rRNA from 1 species